rnacentral:rRNA from 1 species
AGUUUGAUCAUGGCUCAGAACGAACGCUGGCGGCAGGCUUAACACAUGCAAGUCGAACGCCCCGCAAGGGGAGUGGCAGACGGGUGAGUAACGCGUGGGAACAUACCCUUUCUGCGGAAUAGCUCCGGGAAACUGGAAUUAAUACCGCAUACGCCUACGGGGGAAAGAUUUAUCGGGGAAGGAUUGGCCCGCGUUGGAUUAGCUAGUUGGUGGGGUAAAGGCCUACCAAGGCGACGAUCCAUAGCUGGUCUGAGAGGAUGAUCAGCCACAUUGGGACUGAGACACGGCCCAAACUCCUACGGGAGGCAGCAGUGGGGAAUAUUGGACAAUGGGCGCAAGCCUGAUCCAGCCAUGCCGCGUGAGUGAUGAAGGCCUUAGGGUUGUAAAGCUCUUUCACCGGAGAAGAUAAUGACGGUAUCCGGAGAAGAAGCCCCGGCUAACUUCGUGCCAGCAGCCGCGGUAAUACGAAGGGGGCUAGCGUUGUUCGGAAUUACUGGGCGUAAAGCGCACGUAGGCGGAUAUUUAAGUCAGGGGUGAAAUCCCAGAGCUCAACUCUGGAACUGCCUUUGAUANUGGGUAUCUUGAGUAUGGAAGAGGUAAGUGGAAUUCCGAGUGUAGAGGUGAAAUUCGUAGAUAUUCGGAGGAACACCAGUGGCGAAGGCNGCUUACUGGUCCAU